rnacentral:lncRNA from 1 species
AGAAAUUAAAAAUUUUGACGUAGGUGGGAGGGGAUAGGCAGGGGAGGAAAAGAUAUUGUAUAUACGAUAUAUGCCAUGCCCCAAGAUCAAAUCAUUCAUUCUCCUAGGAAAGGCUUUGAACCCCAAGCCACCAAAAAGCUUAGUUUAAUUGGUCGGUUUGGGGGAAAGGGGGCAAGGGCUACAUGAAUCACGUUGGUUCUCUUUGCCCACUUAAAGAGAAGGAGAACAUCCACAUAUGUGUCACAUUGGUUAAAAAAGUAUAAAACAUGGGAAUACGUGCAGAUCGAUGGGGCCAAGCAUAAAUGUGGAAAGAGAUAGAGAGAGAGAGUGGACAAAUCCGGAGCAAAGGGUCAAGUCAGAAGAUGGGGGCAGCAGGAGGGAGCACAUCAAUCGCUUGGGAAUUCCUCCUCCACACAAAGGGGGCUGACCGACCCACCCACCCCAAUCAUGUGCGCCCAGCCCAGAUCUCUCAGGAUCUCAACACCCUUGUCUUCACCUAAAACCUCCUAAACUAUAUAUCUCUCGCUCUUCCCUGCCUUUUAUUGCGAUUACUUUAUUGAGUAACAUUAUUUUUUGAUCGGUUGGUUGCUGCUCUCCUCGUCUAUCUCACAUAAAUCUUUUUCUAAUCUAACAGAUAAAAAUAAUGAGUCAUCUUCCAUCCUCCUUUCCUAUCUAGUUUUCAUGGGUUGGGUUUUUUUAAUGGCAUAUGUUGCCUUUUCAGGGAAACUGACGAACGCCCAUAAGCAACAAUAUCUCCACCAAGAUUUUGAGGGGCCGAAGCGUCCCUACGGUCUCGGUAAAUUAUCGAGAGACGCACCCUGCCCCAUGCCCAAUUUCCUUGUCAUGAGCGCCCGGACUAGAAGCGAUGUGCCCUUGUUCCACUUCACCCCAUCUGAAAAGGCAUUGUAUAUAGACCUUGCGUCAAGGGAGGCAACGGACCGGCCUUGGUUCGAACCCCAGCCCUUGUCCCAAAGGACUGCACCAGCUCAAGCUAGGUCAAAAAUAAAUGAAAAAAAAUAAAAAAAAUAAGCAAAAAAAAAAGAGGGCCAGGCCUAACCGAAUAAGGCCGCACUAGCCCUAGCUCACCCAUUGGGCCACAAUUUGUGGCUCAGGCCUAUGUAUUCAACGUUGUUGUCCGGGCUCGGCCGGCCGCCCAUCCCAUUGCCUGCCCAUACACAAGUCCCAUUCAAUGUGUGUGAAUUUGGAAGAUGAACCUAAGGCUCCAACCCUCAACUUUUUGGAUAUUCCUAAUAUACUAAAAUCUCCUCUGAUCUAUACUCAUACCCAUUUUCCGUGAUUUUUUGCUUAACUACUAUAUUUCCCUCAUCACAUAUUUGAUACAUCCAUUGUGCUACAAAGCGCAAUGGUUCUCAUACAACAGUGGGGAUGCCAAAGGUUUUUUAAGAGUUGGAGGGUGCCUAAGGCACCAUCACGACCUAUCUAGUUCGUGAUGGAAACGCAGCGGACCUACUAAGUCUAUGAUGGUGGCUAAUGCACUAUCAUGGACCUAAUACCAUAACGGAAAAAUCCUAUGGAUCUGUUAGAUAUGUGGCAAGACCUGCAAUAGACCUACUAGAUCUAUGGCAAUGCCUAAUGCGCCAUCAUGGAUCUAAAAUCGUCACGGGCCUCCAUAGACCUGUUUGGUCCAUAAUGGAGCCCCAUGGACCUGCUAAGUAUGUGGCAAUAUCAAAGGCUCCUCCAAAGUCCAGGAGGCUUGACAGUACCUUUGACACGGCACCACCAUGGACUUGCAAGAUCCGUGGCGCUUGGGAGUGUCAGUUUAAACAACCUUCGUGGUUCUAGGAGAUCCGUGGUGUUUUUUUAGUGCGAAGGAUGUACCCAAUCCAUGACAGCGGGCAAUAUAGUCAUUAAACAAAAAAUGUGGGGAAAUUGGGUAUGAUUGUAAGUAAU